AUGUGCGCCGAUGUUCCUCCUCCAGCUCCGAGUCACAGGCGCCGCCACCAUCGACCAGAUCUUCACCACGGCCCCUCGCACCACCUCGUCGCCGGCGCGUCCUCCAGGGCAGAGCUGUGGGAGGAGUCCCUGCGGAAGGCCACGGAGCUGGCGCAGGCCGUCGCCAACGCCCUCUUCUCGCUGCCGGCCACCGAGGGUUGCGACGGCCCCGUCGUCCGCCUCCCGCCGCCCACCAAUCGCCUACCCCGCGAGAAGCAUGCAUUACUAUGUCAGCAUGAGCAUUGGGGAUCCGGCCAAGCCUUACUUCCUGGGUAG
rnacentral:rRNA from 1 species